rnacentral:rRNA from 1 species
UACGAAGGGGGCUAGCGUUGUUCGGAAUUACUGGGCGUAAAGGGUGCGUAGGCGGCCAUGUAAGUGAGGUGUGAAAUCCCUCGGCUCAACCGAGGAACUGCGCUUCAUACUGCAUGGCUUGAGGGAGACAGGGGUAAGCGGAACUGAUGGUGGAGCGGUGAAAUGCGUUGAUAUCAUCAGGAACACCGGUGGCGAAAGCGGCUUACUGGGUCUCUUCUGACGCUGAGGUACGAAAGCUAGGGGAGCGAACGGG